UACGAAGGGGGCUAGCGUUGUUCGGAUUUACUGGGCGUAAAGCGCACGUAGGCGGAUUGGUCAGUUAGGGUGAAAUCCCAGAGCUCAACUCUGGAACUGCCUUUAAUACUGCCAGUCUAGAGUCCGGAAGAGGUAAGUGGAACUCCUAGUGUAGAGGUGGAAUUCGUAGAUAUUAGGAAGAACACCAGUGGCGAAGGCGGCUUACUGGUCCGGUACUGACGCUGAGGUGCGAAAGCGUGGGAGCAACAGG
rnacentral:rRNA from 1 species